AUUGAACGCUGGCGGCAGGCCUAACACAUGCAAGUCGAGCGGAUGAAGGGAGCUUGCUCCUGGAUUCAGCGGCGGACGGGUGAGUAAUGCCUAGGAAUCUGCCUGGUAGUGGGGGAUAACGUCCGGAAACGGGCGCUAAUACCGCAUACGUCCUGAGGGAGAAAGUGGGGGAUCUUCGGACCUUACGCUAUCAGAUGAGCCUAGGUCGGAUUAGCUAGUUGGUGGGGUAAAGGCCUACCAAGGCGACGAUCCGUAACUGGUCUGAGAGGAUGAUCAGUCACACUGGAACUGAGACACGGUCCAGACUCCUACGGGAGGCAGCAGUGGGGAAUAUUGGACAAUGGGCGAAAGCCUGAUCCAGCCAUGCCGCGUGUGUGAAGAAGGUCUUCGGAUUGUAAAGCACUUUAAGUUGGGAGGAAGGGCAGUAAGUUAAUACCUUGCUGUUUUGACGUUACCAACAGAAUAAGCACCGGCUAACUUCGUG
rnacentral:rRNA from 1 species